rnacentral:rRNA from 1 species
CUACGGGUCGCAGCAGUGGGGAAUAUUGCACAAUGGGCGCAAGCCUGAUGCAGCAACGCCGCGUGAGUGAAGAAGGCUUUCGGGUCGUAAAGCUCUGUCCUAUGGGAAGAAACAAAUGACGGUACCAUAGGAGGAAGCCCCGGCUAACUACGUGCCAGCAGCCGCGGUAAUACGUAGGGGGCAAGCGUUAUCCGGAAUCACUGGGCGUAAAGGGUGCGUAGGCGGUCUAUCAAGUCAGGGGUGAAAGGCAAUGGCUCAACCAUUGUAAGCCUUUGAAACUGAUGGACUUGAGUGCAGGAGAGGUAAGUGGAAUUCCUAGUGUAGCGGUGAAAUGCGUAGAUAUUAGGAGGAACACCAGUGGCGAAGGCGACUUACUGGACUGUAACUGACGCUGAGGCACGAAAGCGUGGGGAGCGAACAGGAUUAGAUACCCUAGUAGUC